rnacentral:rRNA from 1 species
UACAGAGGGUGCGAGCGUUGUCCGGAAUCACUGGGCGUAAAGGGCGCGUAGGUGGCGGCCCAAGUCCAUGGUGAAAGCUCGAUGCUCAACAUCGAGUCGGCCACGGAUACUGGGUUGCUCGAGCACUGUAGGGGCAGAUGGAAUUCCGGGUGUAGCGGUGGAAUGCGUAGAGAUCCGGAAGAACACCGGUGGCGAAGGCGGUCUGCUGGGCAGUGCUGGACACUGAGGCGCGACA